UAGAGUUUGAUCCUGGCUCAGAACGAACGCUGGCGGCAGGCCUAACACAUGCAAGUCGAGCGAGACCUUCGGGUCUAGCGGCGGACGGGUUAGUAACGCGUGGGAACGUGCCCUUCACUACGGAAUAGUCCCGGGAAACUGGGUUUAAUACCGUAUACGCCCUUCGGGGGAAAGAAUUUCGGUGAAGGAUCGGCCCGCGUCUGAUUAGGUAGUUGGUGGGGUAAUGGCCUACCAAGCCUACGAUCAGUAGCUGGUUUGAGAGGAUGAUCAGCAACACUGGGACUGAGACACGGCCCAGACUCCUACGGGAGGCAGCAGUGGGGAAUCUUAGACAAUGGGGGCAACCCUGAUCUAGCCAUGCCGCGUGAGUGACGAAGGCCUUAGGGUCGUAAAGCUCUUUCGCUGGGGAAGAUAAUGACUGUACCCAGUAAAGAAACCCCGGCUAACUCCGUGCCAGCAGCCGCGGUAAUACGGAGGGGGUUAGCGUUGUUCGGAAUUACUGGGCGUAAAGCGCGCGUAGGCGGACUAUUAAGUCAGGGGUGAAAUCCCGGGGCUCAACCCCGGAACUGCCUUUGAUACUGGUAGUCUUGAGUUCGAGAGAGGUGAGUGGAAUUCCGAGUGUAGAGGUGAAAUUCGUAGAUAUUCGGA
rnacentral:rRNA from 1 species